CAAUAGCGUAUAUUAAAGUUGUUGCGGUUAAAAAGCUCGUAGUUGGAUUUCUGCUGAGAACGACCGGUCCGCCCUUUGGGUGUGUAUCUGGCUCUUUCUUGGCAUCUUCUUGGUGAACGUUGCUGCACUUGACUGUGUGGAGCGCUACCCAGGACUUUUACUUUGAGGAAAUUAGAGUGUUUCAAGCAGGCAUACGCCUUGAAUACAUUAGCAUGGAAUAAUAAGAUAGGACCUCGGUUCUAUUUUGUUGGUUUCUAGAGCUGAGGUAAUGAUUGAUAGGGACAGUUUGGGGCAUUCGUAUUUAACUGUCAGAGGUGAAAUUCUUGGAUUUGUUAAAGACGAACUACUGCGAAAGCAUUUGCCAGGGAUGUUUUCAUUAA
rnacentral:rRNA from 1 species